rnacentral:rRNA from 1 species
UACGAAAGGGGCUAGCGGUGUUCGGAAUUACUGGGCGCAAAGCGCACGUAGGCGGCACUGUUAGUUGGGGGUGAAAUCCCGGAGCUCAACUCCGGAACUGCCUUCAAGACUGCAGAGCUGGAGGAUGCGAGAGGUGAGUGGAAUUCCGAGUGUAGAGGUGAAAUUCGUAGAUAUUCGGAAGAUGACCAGUGGCGAAGGCGGCUCACUGGCGCAUUUCUGACGCUGCGGUGCGAAGGCGUGGGGAGCAAACAGG